AUGGCCGACGAAAAGCCCAAGGAAGGAGUCAAGACUGAGAACGAUGAUCAUAUUAAUUUCAAAGUGACAGGGCAGGAUGGUUCUGCAGUGCAGUUUAAGAUUAAGAGGCAUACACCACUUAAUAAACGAAUGAACGACAGGGAUUGUCAAUGAGGGAGAUCAGAUCCCGAUUUGACAGGCAACCAAUCAAUGAAACAGACAUACCUGCACAGUUGGAAAUGGAGGACGAAGAUACAAUUGAUGUGUUCCAACAGCAGACGGGAGGUGUCUACUGAAAAGAGAAGCUGCUUCUUUACUUCAGAACUCUGUUCUUUAAAGACCAAGAUUACAUUCUCAAUUAGAAAACUGCAAUUUGGUUCCACCACAUCCUGACUACUACAGUAUAGUUUUCUCUAUUCUUUCAUUUUCCCCUUUCCCAUUCCUUUACUGUACAUAAAGUAACUGGUAUAUGUUCA